rnacentral:snoRNA from 1 species
AUCCAUUUGUUGUUCAUGCGCGUGUGAUUGGGUGUUCACCCGCGUGUGUGAAAUGCGCCCACCCUCAAAUCUUGUUUUGGCACAUUACCCAUCUGACA